UGCAUAUGAUGUAAACGAAUAUUUGCUAUCUUAAUGACGAUGAUGACAAUAUCCCACCAAGAUCGCUGAUGCA
rnacentral:snoRNA from 13 species